AGAGUCAUCCCCUUGCAUAUUCCCGGGGGAGUGGGAGGCUGCGGCCCGUCCUGCUGGGCUAGAGCGCGGAGGGGCCCCUCCGCCCUCCUGCCCUCCUCCCCCAGCCCGGGCCUGCAGCUGAAAAUAAUUUAUCUGCUCGCUCCGCCGGGCUCCCGGCAUAUGCGAUUGGGAGGGAAACGUAUCCAUCAUGGAUAAACUUGAGCACAAAGACAGGCUGAGUGUCACAGGAUACAAAAGGGCAGAGGUCGGCGCGGCGAGCGGGAGGAUUUGCGCAGGGCAGGGCAGGGCAGGGCAGGGCGGCAUGGCCGCCACACGGCAGCGCGGGGCCGGGCCUGCCCGGCCGGGCACGGCUCCCGCAGUAAACAAAGCCCGAGCCACCAAAACCGGGAAAAAACCCGCUGAAAACAACGAAAGAACCGGAGGGGUGACGAAGCUCUAAGGUCUUACUUCCCAGUGCCAUGGACAGCAACACCAACUGCACCUAUCAUAUCUCCACAGCAUCUGCACUAUCGUAUCUGCACAGCUCAAAAACCAAAAGUGAAGAGUCAAGCAAAAGAUACUGGAACCAGCUUCACUGAGAUGUCUACAAGGCAGUAGUAAUGGCAACAGCUGUCAACCAGAUUUGCUCAUUUGGAUUGUCAGGAAUUCCAUCCUCCUUUCGAGCAUCCAGAAAUACUCUGUUGCAGGCCUGCAUUGCCACUCUCUCUCUGCUGAUGUUGGUAACUCACCAGUAUCACUCAAGAGAGAACAGUCCAGCGAUCUGUGAAAGGCAUAAUCUAACUGACUGCAAAAUGGAAGUGCUAAAGACAAGAGCAGCCUAAAAUAGCAGUCUGAGGAUGGGCAGCAGGCAUCUGCCUGCCAAAAGCAAAGCACCUCGCAGGGUAAAGUUCCCCAGCUACUGGGCCAAGGGAAUGAUGGCCACUCCAAGGUUUCCUAACACCUCCCUUGGCUCCCUCCUACUUCUCACUAGCUGCAUAUUUUUGUCUUCGCAAAUAAAGCUUCAGCUAUUUCUCUUGUCUGUGUGCUGCAAGUUUACCAUUGCUGGAGAUUUCUGAGCCUAGCAGACGGAAGCACAGUGACCCUCCCAGGGCAGGGGGCAGCUGCCAUGUCAGACAGGUCUACAGCAUCACAUGUGCAGCUAAGAUGAGCAAACACCUUUGCUACAAAGAAAUGAAAAUGCACCUAACAAAGUUUUUCAAAAUAUUAGAUGUGCAUGUGUUGCAUGCCAGAUUUCUGAGAAAAAAGGAAAAUAAGCAUGCAAGCCAUUUUCUCCAAAACCACAACCCCUUAAUUCCCCAGGUCAGCACAGUGUCUGGUCCUUCAACAUUGCACUAGGCUCAGCAGAUGAGGAAACAGUCGCACCAGAAGGCUCUGUAACAGAUGGAAACCAGAGCAGCUGGAGAGCAGGGAAAUGUCUGUGCGGGUGAGGGGGUGGGGGCAGAAAGCCCAUCCCCACUCCCAAGCUUUAAAGCUGCGUGCAGCCAUCACGCCCUACUGCAAACAGCCCACGGAUCUGCUGGGGAGAAAGCUGAAGGAAGCAGUAUGUGGCCGGAUGAUUUAGUGCUUCCCAGACUUCCCAUCAAGAGAGCAAUACUGAACCAUGCAACACAGGCCUGCAAGCACUGGGUGUGAGCCCCUCAGGGGUGCAGGAGAUAGUGGAAAAGAGCAAGCUGAGCAUUUGCCUUCUUCAUGGAAAGCACAGCAGAUAAGGAACUGCCAGCUGGAGAAAGCCUAGAACUGGAGCAGUAAGAAAGGAAACAAAACUACACAUGCAUACUGGAGAAAUGUGGAGAAGUGAGUAGGGAACCAGUGCUAUCAAAAUCUGUCAGGGUCUGAAGGAUUUUUUUUUUUUUUUUUUUUUUUAAAUAAGAGGUAUUACCAAAAUGGCACAUUCUUAUAGAGGAAAAAAACAUGGUAAAUGUGGAAGAAUAAGAAUUGAGGAAAAAGCCCCUGCCAUAUGGUACAAUUAUUUCACUACAGUUUAGAUUCACAGCUUUACAACACCUGCACAGUUAAUAACCAUAUUAAGUCAUACAUGAUGUCACCAGUAUUUCCUUUCUUUCUCAACUUAGUUAACUAUUAGGGAAAUACAUCUAACAGGGGUUUCUAUACUUCUGGAAAGACAAAUGACUGUCCAUGAUUAAGACGCCCAUCUCUUGACAUAGUUUAGAAAGUAGCCUACCCUCAGUUCCCAGAUGAGGGAAAGGGACCAAGCCUUGUGAGGGAAACCCAGCCAUUUAGCAGGGAUAGUUUAUUAUAAACAAGACGAGUAAGGUGCGGUUUUUUUCCUUCUUCCUUUGUUUCCUUUAAUUUUGGUUGGAACUACCCUUUGCAACCCUUUUGGUUCCUCAAGUCAGGAGACAAGAAACUAAACUGAUCAACUUGUAAGACGGAAGUCCUCAUAUUAGAGCAGGAGAUUACAGUGUUAACCCAGAUAACACAAACAAGGUCAGCCAACGCUUGUAAAAGGCACACAGGAAUACUCCAUUAUAUAUAUACACAUAUAUAAAACUUUUUGUUACCUGGCCUGCCAUGUAGAAUUAGACUUUGAACAUUGAUUUUCAGCAGCUGUGAGCAACUGCAAAAUUGACAGGGUAGUGGAAAGUCUUCAUGAUGAUUUUUCCUCCUUAGUUAUUCUUCUUCCUAACCACAAGCCAUAAUACUUUUGUUCUACUAUUACCCCAGACACUCCAAGAAAAUGUUCAGGUGUAGUCUGGCACCAGAGGUAAGCUGAUCUAACCAUUAGUUGCCAUCAGAAGAUCAUCACCACAGGGGUAUUUGAACAGCAAUGACAGCACAAGGGAAGAAGCAAGAGUGGUACGGCUGAUUUAAAGCAUCAAAACCCAUUGGAUCAGCUUAUUACUAUACCAUGCAUUCAAACUGCCUUCAGGCCACAGCCAGGUGGUUCAACAACUUAAACUGAAAAGCACAGCAGUAAAACAAGCCAGACAUUUGCUACAGAAAGAUAUGAGAAAACAGUGUCUGCUGAUAGGACUUACGGAAAAAAAAAAUAAUUCUAAUUUGGUCAAAUAUGUGAAAAAAUAUUUUUCAUCCAACUGAUGAAACAUACAGAUCAACACCAAAGACUACACUAAGCAUGGAAAACCUAGCAGUUACCUCUAGCUUCUCCUGACUGGAAGACUGCUGACUUUAGAGUUAUUUCAUACCAAUGUACAACUCCAGUGAAGGAUGUGCAAAUAUUCUGGAAUCUGGCAUUAGGAUUUCUUUUAGAUAAAAAAUGUUAUAUCUCAUUGUGAUUUACAAAAAUAAAGGCCAUUUGUGAAUACUAAAGAUAUUUGUCAAGAGAGUCAAAUAACGGGUUUUAGUAGUUAAGACAUUCCAAAAGCAAUUAAUCCAUGGGUGCUUAGAGGACAGCCUCCAGCAGUUCAAGCCAAGCACACACACAGUCCCUCAAUGAAUGGCUGUGAUGGAUAAACACGCUACUUAUAGGAAGAAUAUUUCAUUGACAUCCAUUCAACACCUAAGAAGCCUUCUGGACAGAGAGGUAAAACUUAUAUUUUUCAUUACACUUCUCUUGCUCACAUUGUACUUUUCUGCAGUCUUUCCUAAAUCCCCAUACUAGAAGCCCAUUAGCAUAAGAUUGGAUUUUGCAUAUUCGGGGGGGGUUUAAAACAUAUUCACUACAAGAAUUUUUAAAUAUAUCCCACUAUUCGAAACACUUUUGUUCCAAGAGCUGACCAUUACAGACUAUUUUCUAGAUAUGGCAGGACAAAUUCCUUCCUGUCUGAGAGUUUCCAUGGUAAUAAAAGUCCCCUUUAAACACAUUCACGGUGGUUUG